rnacentral:rRNA from 1 species
GACGAACGUUGGCGGCGUGCUUAACACAUGCAAGUCGUACGGUAAGGCCCUUUCGGGGGUACACGAGUGGCGAACGGGUGAGUAACACGUGAGUAACCUGCCCACAACUUUGGGAUAACGCUAGGAAACUGGUGCUAAUACUGGAUAUGUGCUCCUGCUGCAUGGUGGGGGUUGGAAAGCUCCGGCGGUUGUGGAUGGACUCGCGGCCUAUCAGCUUGUUGGUGGGGUAGUGGCCUACCAAGGCGGCGACGGGUAGCCGGCCUGAGAGGGUGACCGGCCACAUUGGGACUGAGAUACGGCCCAGACUCCUACGGGAGGCAGCAGUGGGGAAUAUUGCACAAUGGGCGCAAGCCUGAUGCAGCAACGCCGCGUGCGGGAUGACGGCCUUCGGGUUGUAAACCGCUUUCAGCAGGGACGAAGCUUUUUGUGACGGUACCUGCAGAAGAAGCACCGGCUAACUACGUG